rnacentral:misc_RNA from 1 species
UUUCCGUAGGUGAACCUGCGGAAGGAUCAUUAAAGAGUUAGGGUCCUCGUGGCUCGACCUCCAACCCUUUGUGAAUCGUACUCGUUGCUUCGGGGGCGACCCUGCCGUCCGCGGCUGAGCGCCCCCGGGGUCAAUCAAACACUGCAUUCUCUGCGUCGGAGUAUUAGUAAAUCUAAUCAAAACUUUCGACAACGGAUCUCUUGGUUCUGGCAUCGAUGAAGAACGCAGC